GUAGCCUCUCCUUUCAGCCACUAAGCAAAUACAACCCAUUCCACGUGUGCUUCUAAGAUAAAGACAACUCGCUCUCAGCACUUAUUUUUCACACAAGUCAAUGAUGUUGGAGCCUCUGAGAGGCAGCCAGGACCCACCCCAGCCCCGACAGUCCACCUGCCCGUCAGCACCAGCCCCCCGUCCUGGGACCAGCCCUGAGCUGUGCAGCUUCUCAAGGCCACCGGGCCUGAGCUCCAGACCCACAAAACUUUGGUCCAUUCAGAAAUUCAUAGGAAGAAGAUAAAAUGACGGCAGCUGACGCUAUAAUGACUCCCCUUCUGUCCGUGGCCAUCAGUCCUUCAGCUGAAGUGACCAUCACCAUCCUGCUGCCAGAAGUAGUUUCUGACUCCAACACCGAAGCAAAUUCUCAAGGGCCAGCCCAAACUCUCCUGCAAUAACGAAAAUAUACCCACUCCAUUUACUUUACAUAGAUUACCCAGGAGCUCACUUCCUCACCUUUUUACAGCGUAGCCACAGAUGGAAGUUAUCACGAUAAGAAAGAAAAUUUCCCUUUGCUUGCUCAAUAUUUCUCCCCUGAAAAAGCCUUGCUUGUAAGGCAGUUGUGAGUAAAAGCUCUUUCAGCAGAGCCUUGAGCAACAAAGGUAAAUUUUUGCAGACCUUCCCUUAUUGGUUAGGAGUUAAUAAAAAAAAAAAAAUUGGGCUGCUCUCAGUGGAGAUGAUGCAAAUACAUAUUUGGGGGAUGUAUGCAUUAAGAGGCAAUGUUUAUUCAAAGCUGAAGCGAGGCGUGAAUGAUCCCAGGGACGAUGCUGGUUGUCCUUCCCAUGCGCUGAUAACGCAGCUCAGACAGGAUCUGGUGUUUUGGCAUCACAGCCAUUGGCAUGAAACGGUUCUCUAACUUCAGCAUUUAUACUGGUCAAACGGAGCGAUCAAAGGACUUUGGUGAUUUUGCGACUGUCCAGUCGAGUUAGAUUCUCUCACAUUGGAAACAGGUUGGUUCUGGAGUUCCCAUCUUGGCACAGCGGAAACGAAUCCAACUAGUAUG